UUCUGGUAGAUAGUAAAACUUGGUAGUGAACUGGAGAACCAGGUUUUCUUUGAUCUUGAUGUUUAGGUAGUAAUAAAAACUACACCUCAUUUAUUUAUAAUACUAGUCAACUGGUUUUCAUUUGUUAGUAGCUCUGUUUUUUCACAGGGUGGAGCUGAAUUUGGAGAAAGAAAAGAUAGAUUAACAGAUGGGCUGAAGCAAUCAAAAUUAUUGUUAAAACUUAAAAGGUAUUAUUCGUGAACUUUGUGUUUGAUUAUAUGUAUGGUUAUCCUAUCUAGAGUUCCAUAUAGUUUUGAGACAAUACUUAUUGUGCAGAUUGUAAAUUAAAAUUUACAUUUAUAGAUUGACCUCAUGUAGGAGAGGAAGACCUUCUGGCUGACUACCUUGAUUGGUCAAUUUGGUGUGGAAUUCUUGUCUGCUCUUCUACUUGCUGAAAGGGUAACCCUAGGUUGAAUAUUCAAGUUCAUGUUCAUGGUCAAUUUGGUUUAUUUUAUGUUUUAUGUGUGUGAAUGAUGCUUUGAUUUGAGCAUUUUCUUCUUUUUUCUUACGUUGUUCCUUAGGCCUUCUUUGUGACUGCUUCUCUUGUUUUUUCUUCUCUUGUGCCUGUAGUCUCAUUUCGAUGUACUGUUGCAACUCACUUCUCAUUCCCAGCAACAAGCAUAAAGACGCAAUCUCAAAGGGGCAAUGAGUUCACAUCCAGAAGAAUUGAAGAUAUUUUAUCACCAGUAAUGUUAUUAGGGGUCAAUUAUUUCAGUAGGAAAUUAAUUUUUGAUUAUGGCAUUUACAUUUGCGUUAUGGUGUUUGUUUCAUAAUGGUGAACAAUACUUAGUAUUGAACUUUUUUAUGUUACGAAAUUUUAUUGUAAUUUAUGGGUAUUGUGUGAUGUAUGAUUUGCGUUCCAUUAUUUAUGAAUGAUUCAUAUUUUUAA